GAGAAAGGAGAGAGAGAACGCAGAGGGAGGGAGGCAGGGAGGGAGACCAAACCCCCGCUUUACUGCGUUGAAAGCUUCUGAAUUUCAAGCAGAAAGUAGAAGGAGCUCCAAAGGCAGUGAGCGUCUUUCCUUGGGCUGCGUGUGCCGAGCGUAGACAAUGAAAAUCUUCAUCCCCCUCCCCCAUUCUACUAGGCUACAAGAUUCUUGUUUUCGUUCCUUCUCACCGGUGGAAGAUGUGUAAAAUCAAAGAUGUAGAGGUGUGUAGUGAUUUUUUUAAAAGCCAACUAACCACCGCACGGACUGCGACGCGGAUUACCCGAGCGCACGCCGGCUGGGCGCAUUCUGGGGUCUCUGCGCAAGACCAGCUCUCAGCUCUCUCUCCUUUCCUCGGACUCUGGAGCGGGAGCGGGCCUUUCCCUCGGGUCGACCACGCCGUAGGGGACGCCGUGAAAAGAGCCGUCGCGCCCGCUGCCUCCUGCCCGCUGCGCAGAGGGCUCCGCCCGUAGAGGGGUUGGGAACAAAGGAGAGGAGCUAAGAGGAUGCACCAAAGUAGCCGCGCCCUCCCUGCCUGGCGCUGUCCGCGGUGCUGACCGUGGCCCUUUUCUCUCUCCGUAAUCAAACUGGAAAAGCAAUAGGACCGUCCCGUCCCUACUCAAAAGAAGAGUAGGAUAUUAGGUAAUUUGAAAAAUAACAUUUAAAAAGAGAAAAAGGUCACAUACAGCAAAACAAUAUUUUACUGAAAUCGUUCCCUCAAGCUGGUUGCUACCCUUGCCUGACACUUUUUGGUCUUCACGUAGGAAUGCACACAUACAUACAUUGUAAGUGUAUGGGGAAACCAUUUCCACUUUAUUUAGGCUGAAACCUAAAUCGCAGGAUUGCAAGAAGGAAAUUGAGGAGAAUGAAGGCUUUAUUAUUAUCCUUUUCUUUCUUAAAUCAUCUUCCUUAAAACAGAAACAUAAGGUCCUCAGCCGCGGAUUUUAGUGCUUACUUGGUCACCAAAGGGACGUGCAAUGGACUCAAGUGUGGGCCUCGAGGCUUAACUAGGAAGGGGUGGGUCGGGGACCCACCAGGUGAAACAGGGCAGGAGCCCAUGCAGCUUGCCACCUUCGGCCAGGCCUUGCAGCCCGGCAGCCUUAGUAGACGGGUACAGAGGGCUGAGCUCUGCAGACCGCUCUGCUGCGCAGGAGCCUGCUCGGCGCAUCCCAGCCGGCGGGAGGCACUGGAGGGCCAGGAGGCCUGAAACCCGCACUGCGGAAAAACCGACCUCAGCCACAUCCUCAUAGCUCACGCGACGGAAAGAGGCAGGGCGGUUUACUAAAUCUUAUGCAGUGAAAAUUCGCCUUAGAAAUCGAAGGUUGGAUGAGUCAGUAUUGAUAUAUUCAAAAAUCUAAAUUUCUUAGCAUAUUUCAUCGUUCUUAGAUGUUGAAAGUAUUAAAUGUAAACAAUACAAAUUUAAAUUCCCUAAGUAAUGAAUCAAAAUGGCAAGGGAGAGAGAGAGAGAGAGAGACGGAAAAUCAACCAAUUCGUAGCCACCCUGGCUGGCUAUUUCUCAAAAGAAAUUUCUAUGCAUUUGCUUGAGUUUGUCUAUAAAUUCACAAACAUAAAGGGUGUUAAAAUUAGUAACAGACAAAAUAAUUCAGGUUGGACAAUAGAGACAGCAACACCGAUUUUGAUCCAGGUAUAACAAUGGGCCAUGCAUUGACAAUGACCUAAAAGACAUGUGUUCAUUAAGUUAUUUUUUUUACACGGGAUGUAGAUGUAUCAUAAAAUUCAUGAAAUAAAGCGGCCAGGUGCAAUAUCCUCAGAGAGCUGCCUUCUCACCCCCUGCCUCAGGGCGGAUUUUAUCUGUCCUCGAAUUUUAGAACUCUGCAAGUCGGGUCUUUCACAUUCAUCGAUUACUUUGGUUUAUAUUUAAUUUUAUCCAAUUUCGGAGUGGGUGGGUAAAGCACACUGGAAAAUAGGGGCUGCUCGAAUUACAAAAUUUAAGGAUUGGGAAUAUUCCUCUUGUGCCAAUUAAAAGCAGUCGUUGGAAGCAGAAAUGAAUUUAAAGCAUUACACGUUAUCAUGGCGGCCUUGCUUUUUCCUUCCAGUAUUCAUCCAAUUGCGCUGAUCUCCUGCAUCCACAUCUUGCGUAAUCCACAAAGCAGCUAUGGUCCAGGGCUGCAAAAUCGUCCUGCCUGAUUCCUUUAGAAUUCAUACUACCUCAGAGGAGCAAACCUAAUCCCCUCAGCCUAAUCCUACCUGUUUAGGAUCAUCUAAACUUGUCCUUCAGAAAGCUUGAUCAGUUUAAAAUUGCUUUCUAAAUAGAAAUGAAAUACGUGAUAUGAGAGAGGUUAAAAUACUGCUUAAAAAGGGAAACACUCAAUUUAGUAAUUCGGUUGCCUAGAUGAAAUCGAGUGGCUAUUGAUCCGUGAUGUUUCUAGAUUUUUAAGACUAUGUACUUCCUAUUUCUUUGGAAAAUAAUCAUCCAGUUUGAUGCCCAUUACAAAUUUUCCUGCUAUGAAAGAAAUUCUAUGCGCGGCAGUUUUGCAAUAAAACAACCCGGGCUUCGCAAUGGGAGAACUUCGGUGCGGCGUGCCGUGAGAGUCCUUUGACAAUCUCAGCUUUCAUCUAGGUCUGAAAUUAAAGCUUCUCGGAAUAAUUUAGGAACAGCUUGACCCGUUGAGAUACUCAAGGACAACCCUCCAGGGAAAUAGUAUGUUUCCUUCCUGGGAACAAGAUGCUAGCGCGGUGCACCGGGAGGUAUCUGGUGUCAACAAUGCCAGAGCGCCCUCUGCUGCCUCAAAGAGGCAGGACACCAGUUACAAAAGCCAGAUGGCACAGUGGCAAUAAGCGGAGGAAACAUUAAGCUCUUAGAAACGUUUAAUCUGUGAAAUUUAAAAGCUCUCAUCAUAUUCUACUUUUGAAAGGGCCACCUGAUUUUGAUUUUGAGCACUCCUUGGAUGUUAUCUUCUAUUCUGGAGGAUAAUGAAAAGUCCGUGUUUUGAAGUUUUCAGAUUAUUUCUGUAGUUAUAUUUCUCCACUCUUUCUCGAAUUUUAUAUGGAAAUACGAAAUUGCAAAUCUAAGUGAAAAACCUUUGUGUAAAACAGGUGAGUGGAGAAGACGUCCUGGUUUCUCCAAAUAACUAAGAUCUAAUAAAGAAACAAAUCUUAAUUAAAAUAAAGAUACCGAGCACAUGUUGUUGUGUUAGUUUAAAACGAUAAUAAAAAGAAAGAAAUUAAGUCUCGAUGUAAAUCAUUGUUUUGUUGUUUUGUUUCAGUGAUUAACCCAAAUUUUGACCAGACUUGAAGUUUUGAAAUAAGAAAGUGAAUUAUUUUAAAGAAGAAGAAAAAUUUGCUUCUUAUUAAUAUGUACAAUAUUUUUGCCCUUAAAACCUUUGCAAUACAUUUAUACACACACACUCAGCUUGCAAAGCCUUCUUUAGAAAAUAACCCACUCUGAGUAGAAGUAAUGAGAUAUGGUAGCAGCAUGGGCAAAGCCAUAAGAAACGUUAUUUGCAUUAAAAAUGAGUUUUUCAGUAUGGAAAAUCAAUUACCAAAUGAAAUAGAGAUUUUUUUUAAAGGUUCAAACCUUUUCAAAUUUUUAUGUUAUAGGGUUUAUAUUGAUUAAAAUAAAUGUACGUUUGUAGUUAUUCAACAUUAUGAAUUUCAAGAUGGCCACCUAUUUUGAAACGCACACCUUUGCCAUGAAGUCUGUUGUUGCAUAUAUUAGUGCUGAUGUAAUAAAAUGCUUCUAUUAACUAUGUGGUUGUUAAUAAAUCUUGUAAAAAUAAAGUUCUGUUUAUUUUAUGGUGUCAGAACAAAAUAGCUGUUUAAAAUCACUUAUUUUAGUCUUAGCUUUUAAAUCAAAAUGCCUAUAAGAAUAUUAAGUUCUAAGAUUGUUGAGAAUACUAAGAUAAAAUUAAAAAUUGUAUGAUUUUACAAUUUGCUAUAAUUUAAAAAUCUUGUAUUGAUUAAAUGUUAAAUCAGGUUAAAUAUUUGACCAAUUGUGUCAAGUUCCGUAUAAAUAUGGGUACAUUUGUCUUCUGAAAGCUAUUUCUCCAAAGAAUGCACUUACGAAUGUAUGGCAUAAUAAGUGAAAAAAUGGUAGAACUUUUAUGUUUUUAUUUUAAGUAUCCUUUUAAAAAUUAAAAAUAUUUUUUUUCUUUUACUUAAUUUAAAUUUCUUCCUAAAUAAGUGCAUAUUUUACCCAGGAGAAAAUAAACAGAGUGACAUAAAUUUGCUAUACUUCUUAUAGUUACUAUAAUCAGUUAAAAAACAACUUCUAGGCAAAUAAAAUAUAUAAUAAAAUGUAAAUUAAAAUGUAAAUAAAAUGCAACAAAUUCGUGGGUGGAAGACAUGAACAUGACUUUUUUCUAUUUUAAAAACCAUUUGAUGUAUUCUAAAAAAAGAAAAAGAAAAGAAAAACAGAAGAGAACCAACUAAAAGAGCUUCCCAGAUGUCCAAUAGAUGCUGCCCGAAGUAAAACGCAUACUCUAAUAUUUGUUAUUCAAAUUUGCAUGUAAGGGUUUUUAACCUCCCUUUAUUUUAUACUUGUACAGGGUAACGUAUUGUAACUGAAACACUCCUCCUAAUUUAUUCUGGCUGUGAAAAGCCUAUGGAAACAUUCACUUCCAUAGGAGUAAUAUGUAUCUAAACAGUAUAUUUAGGGAAAGCACUAAUAGAACACAAACAACUAAUUACUGAUGCUUUUAAGGAGGAACCGCAACAAUAAUUGUGCACUGUCUUAGAUAAAAUUAAUAUAGAAUUUAAUAUUUGUAGACCACAAAAAAGCCCUAAUCGUGGACCGCAGAUUAGAAAGAACAGGCUUUAGCACACUGUGUAUCUUUGUAGUAUUCAGACUCAGCUGCCACUGCGAUUUCCAUCAGCUGCUGUUAAGUAAAUAAUAUACUAUGGAAAUAUGACUGAGUAGGAAUUGAAAAUAAAAUGCUUUAAGAAGGAAUAAAAUUGGGAUGUCAAGAAAUCAAAGUUGAUUGUCUUUAAGAUAGAAGGUUAGUAGUUACAAACUGCAGCGAAAAUAUAUACAUUGAUGAGCAAAUCUCCACGAAGUAAAAAGUUCAGAUGUUGGAUACUACCAAGGCAAAAUAGAGUGAAAUAGGAAGAAAUUAAGUCUUUGAGACACAUGUAGAAAGAACAAAGAAGCCUCUUGACUUCAAUUUUGUUUUUAAAAUUCCAGUAGAAGAUGUUUAUGCAGAGAAACCUUAAGGAAUUCUUCAUUGUCAUGUCACAAUUUUGAUCUUGUUGAAUUAAGAAAGACAGGGAAAAGUUGAAAAACAAAUAAGCAAAAUGUGAAUUUACUAUUGAACUCUUAUGGGUUUGUAAUGCAGAAUUGUGUUUUUCCUUUCCUACUUGUUGGUCAGGUUCUUUUUAAUCAUAAGAAGGAAAAUAUUUAAAAUAUAAUUUUAUACAUGGUACAAUUGUCUCCCCUUAGCCUUGGCUCGCUUUCUGUGGUUUUAGUUACCCGCGGUCAACUGUGGUCUGAAAAUAUUAAAUGGAAAAUUCCAGAAAUAGACUAUUCAUAAGUUUUAAAGUUUGUGCUGCUUUGAGCAGCAUAAUAAAAUCUUGCACCACCCCACUUCAUCCCACCCAGGAUGUGAAUCAUCCUUUGUCCAGCAUCUCCAUGCUAUAUGUAGCUACCCCUUAGUCACUUAGUAACCAUCUUGAUGAUCACAUCUACUGUUGCAGUAAUAUCACACAGCAUCACUUAUGUUCAAGCAACACUUGUUUUGCUUAAAAUGACUGCAGAGUUCAAAAGUAGUGAUGUUGGGAAUUCAGAUAUGCCAAAGACAAGCCAUAGGUACAUCCUUUAAGAGAAAAGGCGAAAGUUCUCAAAUUAAUAAGGAAAGAAAAAAUAUUGCAUACUGAGGUUGCUAAGAUCUAGUGUAAGAAUGGAUCAUCUAUUAAUGAAUUUGAAAAGAAUGAAAGGUAAAUUUAGGCUAGUUUUGUUGUCACACUUCAAACUGUAAAAGUUACAGCCACGGUGCAUAAGUGCUACUUAAAAUGCAAAAGGCACUAAAUUUGCUGUUGGAAGACAUGAACAGAAACGUGUUCCGAUUGACGACAAUCAGAUUCAGUGUUAUCUGCAGUUUCAGGCAUCCACUAGGGCUCAUGGAAUGCAUCCUCUGCAGAGAAGUGGGGACUACUGUCUUAAUAAUAGAAUGAAUAUAACAUAGCUUAUGCUGGGCAAAAUAUCUUUCUUCUGUUAAUUUGUUUGAACAAAAAACAGUGACAAAUGAAACAGAAACUUGGUUUAGGAGAGUGUUUCUUACUGAUUUGAAUGUUCUAAGUAGUAGUGACAAUGUACUUACAUUGGCAGGAUUCUUAACUUGAACUCAGUCACAAUGCUUCUCAGGAAUUCCCUAUACUCGUGUUAACUGUGAAGAGUGGGAGUUCCAGGCCAAAACGAUAAGGACUAUGUACCUCAGGCAAGGUCAAUUUAAAGGUUACAAAGUUUGGGUUGCUAUGAAAACAUUAAAUAGAGAAAGGUGUUCCCUUGCCGAGAGCUAUGUAGUGCCAGUUUUCCAAAUCAGAGGAACUUCUCUCUUCCCUGGACAUCCUUGACCUGACUCUACUCUCUCGAUUCCCAGAAUUCGGGUAUAGUAGUUAUGUUGUUUUCAUUGUCCUGAUGAUAUCAGAUAAGUAGAUUGGUUACAAGAACUCCAAGGAUGCAUUCUUCAAUAUGUGAUUUUACAACCUGGUAUAUUUAAAGAAAGGGGCUUUGAUUCAAUGACAGGGUUAUUUUUACCUAGCUUUUCAACUCAGAAAGCACAGAUACUUAUAAAUGCCCACUAAGCAUCAGGAAGUUGUGUUAGUUGGAUGAGAGAAUGAGGGGUGUGGUGUAUGUGUAUAUAAAUACAUGUAUAUGGAAAGGAAUAUCUAUAUUAGACAUCACAGUUAACAUUUAAAACAUGGUUGUGAAAAAAAAUAAAACCAACAGUAGCUAUGGCUUGGACUUACCUCUUUUGCAGUUAUCUUCCUAUUAUUAGAUAAUCUACUUGGUAAAAUUGCAUGGUACAAGAGGAUUAUUAAUAAAUAAUCAUUAAAAAUGGCUAGUUCAUUCAGACUAUUCUCCAUACUCCUGCUGUUGUUAUUGCAAUAACUUUCCAAAUUUUCUAAAUCCAUGAAUACCCUUUCAAUGAAUAUAAUUUUUCUACAUUAUCUUCCUACCUCUCUCUCUCUCUGCUUUUAUCUUAAUUGAUAAUGAAACCCAGUAAGGUAAGUGAUUAUUUAGACCAAUAACAUUGAACAAAUCAAUCAUUCCUAAAUGUAGGACCCAAACUUAUAUCACAGAAUUGUGUGUGUGUGUGUGUGUGUGUGUGUGUGUGUAUGGACUUGAAUUGAUUUUUAUUUUAACCUCCACUUCUUUUCGUAGUAAACAACUUCUCUCAGAUUUCCAAAGAUAAAAACAUAGAUUCAUUCAUUCAUUUAUUCACUGUUUGAGUGCUUAGUAGGUGCCAGGCUCUGUUCUUUGUGUUAAAUAUUCAAAGGUGAAUGAAAUUCAUGCGAUUUCUAUUCUUAUGGAGCUUAUGCUUUCUCAGUGUUAAAUUUUCUAUUCUCCUGAACUUACUUUCUAUAAUUCAUGUCUUUUUAUCUUUAAGUGCUUCCAUGUCACUAAUGAGAGUUUUCCUCAUGAGAAGAACAGAUUUGUAUUUUGCUAUUCUGGGAUAAACAAGACCAAUAUAUUUACAUUUUUCUUACAGAUGCACAUCCUUAUCUAUUUGGAAACAAUGAAUGCUUUUUGCUAUUCUCUUUCAAAUUUAAAGAUCAAUUGAGUAAAAUAUUAAUAUAUGCUGAUGUAAUGUUGACUGUAAAGUAUUAGCUCCUGUCUCAAUUGUGGUUUAUUAGUCAUGCUUGAAUUUUGUGUUUAUUGAUUAUAAAUAUUUACUUUUAUUUUGUCAUAGAUUUUGAUUUCAAAUGUAAUUUUUGCAACAUAAAUGCCCAUUCAAACUCUGUAAUUUGGUCCUUAUCCUUAAUUUAUACAUUCUAAUAAG
rnacentral:lncRNA from 1 species